AAGGGUAUAGCUUAGUGGUAGAGCACAUGCUUAGCAUGCACGAGGUCCUGGGUUCAAUCCCCAGUACCUCUA
rnacentral:tRNA from 1 species